rnacentral:rRNA from 1 species
UGGGGAAUAUUGCACAAUGGGCGCAAGCCUGAUGCAGCGACGCCGCGUGCGGGAUGACGGCCUUCGGGUUGUAAACCGCUUUUGAUCGGGAGCAAGCCUUCGGGUGAGUGUACCUUUCGAAUAAGCACCGGCUAACUACGUGCCAGCAGCCGCGGUAAUACGUAGGGUGCAAGCGUUAUCCGGAAUUAUUGGGCGUAAAGGGCUCGUAGGCGGUUCGUCGCGUCCGGUGUGAAAGUCCAUCGCUUAACGGUGGAUCUGCGCCGGGUACGGGCGGGCUGGAGUGCGGUAGGGGAGACUGGAAUUCCCGGUGUAACGGUGGAAUGUGUAGAUAUCGGGAAGAACACCAAUGGCGAAGGCAGGUCUCUGGGCCGUUACUGACGCUGAGGAGCGAAAGCGUGGGGAGCGAACAGGAUUAGAUACCCUGGUAGUCCACGCCGUAAACGGUGGAUGCUGGAUGUGGGGCCCGUUCCGCGGGUUCCGUGUCGGAGCUAACGCGUUAAGCAUCCCGCCUGGGGAGUACGGCCGCAAGGCUAAAACUCAAAGAAAUUGACGGGGGCCCGCACAAGCGGCGGAGCAUGCGGAUUAAUUCGAUGCAACGCGAAGAACCUUACCUGGGCUUGACAUGUUCCCGACAGCCGUAGAGAUAUGGCCUCCCUUCGGGGCGGGUUCACAGGUGGUGCAUGGUCGUCGUCAGCUCGUGUCGUGAGAUGUUGGGUUAAGUCCCGCAACGAGCGCAACCCUCGCCCUGUGUUGCCAGCACGUCAUGGUGGGAACUCACGGGGGACCGCCGGGGUCAACUCGGAGGAAGGUGGGGAUGACGUCAGAUCAUCAUGCCCCUUACGUCCAGGGCUUCACGCAUGCUACAAUGGCCGGUACAACGGGAUGCGACACGGCGACGUGGAGCGGAUCCCUGAAAACCGGUCUCAGUUCGGAUUGGAGUCUGCAACCCGACUCCAUGAAGGCGGAGUCGCUAGUAAUCGCGGAUCAGCAACGCCGCGGUGAAUGCGUUCCC